UAUUCAUAUGCUUGUCUCAAAAAUUAACCCAUGCAUAUCUAAUUACAACCCUCAUUAAGGUGAAACCGCGAAGGGCUCAUUAAACCACAUCUAAUAUACUGAAUACUUUCUUUUACUUGAAUAACUGCGGUAAUCCUGAAGCUAAUACAUGCGUACAACCCCCAAACUUACGUGAGGGGCGCUUUUAUUAAAUCAAAACCAAACGGCUUCGGCCGUCUCUCUGGUGACUCUAAAUAACUUUGGGCUGAUCGCAUGGCUGUAUGCCGGCAACUUAUCCUUCUAAGGUGUGCCCUAUCAACUGUCAACUGUGGCAUAAACCCCCACAGUGGUUUUGACGGGUAACGGGAAAUUAGGGUUCAAUUCCGGAAAGGGAGCCUGAAAAACGGCUACCACUUCUAAGGAAGGCAGCAGGCACGCAAAUUACCCACUGGUCAAAAACCGAGGUAGUGACAAAAAAUAACGAUACCGGACUCAUCCAAGGCCCGGUAAUCGAAAUGAGUACACUUUAAAUCCUUUAACAAGAAACAAUUGA
rnacentral:rRNA from 1 species